CCUACGUGUGGCUGCAGUGGGGAAUCUUCCGCAAUUGGCGCAAGCCUGACGGAGCAACGCCGCGUGAAUGAAGCAGGUCUUCGGAUCGUAAAGUUCUGUUCUUAGGUACGAAGUCUUAGGAUGUGAAUAAUGACUUAAGGUGACGGUACCUAUGGAGAAAGCUCCGGCUAACUACGUGCCAGCAGCCGCGGUAAUACGUAGGGAGCGAACGUUAUCCGGAAUUACUGGGCGUAAAGGGCGCGUAGGCGGGAACUUAAGUGAGAUGUGAAAACUACGGGUUUAACCUGGAGACUGCAUUUAAAACUGGGUUUCGUGAGGGCAGGAGAGGAAAGUGGAAUUCCUAGUGUAGCGGUGAAAUGCGUAGAUAUUAGGAGGAACACCAGUGUCGAAGGCGACUUUCUGGACUGUACCUGACGCUGAGGCGCGAAAGCAUGGGGAGCGAACAGGAUUAGAUACCCCAGUAGUA
rnacentral:rRNA from 1 species